GACGAACGCUGGCGGCGUGCUUAACACAUGCAAGUCGAACGGAAAGGCCCUGCUUUUGUGGGGUGCUCGAGUGGCGAACGGGUGCGUAUCACGUGAGUAACCUGCCCUUGACUUUGGGAUAACUUCAGGAAACUGGGGCGAAUUCCGCAUAGGAGCUCCUGCUGCAUGGUGGGGGUGGGGAAGUUUCGGCGGUUGGGGAUGGACUCGCGGCUUAUCAGCUUGUUGGUGGGGUAGUGGCUUACCAAGGCUUUGACGGGUAGCCGGCCUGAGAGGGUGACCGGCCACAUUGGGACUGAGAUACGGCCCAGACUCCUACGGGAGGCAGCAGUGGGGAAUAUUGCACAAUGGGCGGAAGCCUGAUGCAGCAACGCCGCGUGCGGGAUGACGGCCUUCGGGUUGUAAACCGCUUUCGCCUGUGACGAAGCGUGAGUGACGGUAAUGGGUAAAGAAGCACCGGCUAACUACGUG
rnacentral:rRNA from 1 species